rnacentral:rRNA from 2 species
GAAUUGUGAUCUUAUACAACCAUUAUUUAUUUUUAAGUAAUUUUUGUAAGCAUUGGGGGGUCGUGAAGACUCUAUCAGUGAGUAUUUGUUCUCGAAAGGGCUAAGAUUAAUAUUGAAUAAUCAGACAUAGUACGCUAAGGUUGUAUGUCUAAAGGGAAACAGCCCAGAGCAAGUGUAAAUAAGGUUCCAAAAUUAUUAUUAAGUGAAAUAAAGGUAGUUUAUGUCUUAAACGGCCAGGGAAUGGGCUUAGAAGCGGCCAUUUUUUAAAGAUCUCGUAACAGAGCACUGGCUUUGUCCUAAAAUUUAGGAUAUAUUAGAUUUAAAAUUUUUAGAUCUAAUUUACAUGGAUAUGAGCACCGACGAUACAACGGAUCUAAAUAAUAUACCGAUACCUUGUCCAUAAAAAUAUAUACUUAUUAUCUGUAUAAGAUAAGUUAUUUGAAAAAGCAUUUUAUCUAAAAACAAAUUAAUAUAAUAACAUGUAUAUCGUUUUAUGGGGUAGCGGAACAUUGGGUAAGCCAGAUACUUUUAUUUUAUAAAUAAAAUAAGGUAUCCCAAGAGAGAAUGCUGACAUGAGUAACGAUAAAGGGAAAAAUCCCUCGCCUAAAGCUUAUGGUAUUUAGUUAAAGUAACGGCCUCUAAGUUUAUGUUUUAGUAUAACCUAAGGGAUUAAACGAUGAGCAAAUCUAUAAAGGCAUAAUAAACAACAUUUAAACACUUUUAGCGAUAAAAGUAUUAAAGUGAUAAGUGUUCUGGAAAAUUGCACUUUAGACAUUUCUAAUAACAACAAACUGAAUAGAAUAAUGUGUUUUAGAAAAGAAAAUGAACCCUCAGAUGAGGUAACUAACGUAAGGUAACGUAACGUAACUAACGUAACUAACGUAACUGGUAGUUUUCUAUUAGUUUACCGUACCUAAAAACUACCACAAGUAAGCAAGUAGAG